UGGCGGCAGGCCUAACACAUGCAAGUCGAGCGGUAACAUUUCUAGCUUGCUAGAAGAUGACGAGCGGCGGACGGUGAGUAACGCGUAGAAAUCUACCUAGUAGUCGGGGGAUAGCCCAGAGAAAUUUGGAUUAAUACCGCAUACGCCCUACGGGGGAAANCCGGGGGAUCUUCGGACCUCGUGCUAUUAGAUGAGUCUGCGUCGGAUUAGCUUGUUGGUGAGGUAAUGGCUCACCAAGGCGACGAUCCGUAGCUGGUCUGAGAGGAUGACCAGCCACACUGGAACUGAGACACGGUCCAGACUCCUACGGGAGGCAGCAGUGGGGAAUAUUGCACAAUGGGCGCAAGCCUGAUGCAGCCAUGCCGCGUGUGUGAAGAAGGCCUUAGGGUUGUAAAGCACUUUCAGCAGUGAGGAAAGGGGUGUCGUUAAUAGCGCCAUCCUGUGACGUUAACUGCAGAAGAAGGACCGGCUAACUCCGUG
rnacentral:rRNA from 1 species